rnacentral:rRNA from 1 species
UACAGAGGUCCCGAGCGUUGUUCGGAUUCACUGGGCGUAAAGGGUGCGUAGGUGGCGAGGUAAGUCGGAUGUGAAAGCUCGGAGCUCAACUCCGAAAUGGCAUUGGAAACUACCUUGCUCGAGGGUUGGAGGGGGGACUGGAAUACUUGGUGUAGCGGUGAAAUGCGCAGAUAUCAGGAGGAACACCGGUGGCGAAGGCGGGUCUCUGGGCCGAUACUGACGCUGAGGAGCGAAAGCGUGGGGAGCGAACAGG